GUUGUUCAAACAAAAGAAAACGUGUCCUGCAGGAUGGAGCAUGUUCACUUCUACAUGUUAUCUUCUCUCUCAAGAGUCUGGUUCCUGGGAUGAAGGCAGGAAGGACUGUAAAGGCCAAGGAGCAGAUCUGGUGGUGAUAAACAGUCCUGAAGAACAGACCUUUCUCUCUAUGUUUAAAAGAGGACACACUUGGAUUGGUUUGAAUGACAAAGAAAAAGAGGGCACCUGGACAUGGGUAGAUGGAACUCCUCUGACUCUGAGUUAUUGGAGGAACAACCAGCCUGACAACGGUGGUGGACAUCCACAGCUCGGUGAAGAGGACUGUGCACAUUUCAGACAUGAGAUUGGUUACUGGAAUGAUAUUUCAUGUACAACUUCUCUGCAGUGGAUCUGUGAAAAACAACCAUAACUAUGCUGCACUAUUUGUCUGAGGAUUAUAUAUAUCUGAAGUCAUCUGUUUAAAUACUUUUCAGUUUUAGCUAAGCUUGUCAUUUCAUCCU